UCCACGCUGUAAACGAUGAUUACUCGUUGUCGGCGAUACACAGUCGGUGGCUAAGCGAAAGUGAUAAGUAAUCCACCUGGGGAGUACGAUCGCAAGGUUGAAACUCAAAGGAAUUGACGGGGGCCCGCACAAGCGGAGGAGCAUGUGGUUUAAUUCGAUGAUACGCGAGGAACCUUACCUGGGCUUAAAUGUAGAUUGCAUGAAGGGGAAACCUUUCUUUUCUUCGGAACUAUUUACAAGGUGCUGCAUGGUUGUCGUCAGCUCGUGCCGUGAGGUGUCGGGUUAAGUCCCAUAACGAGCGCAACCCCUACCUUUAGUUGCCAUCAGGUAAUGCUGGGGACUCUAAAGGAACUGCCUACGCAAGUAGUGAGGAAGGUGGGGAUGACGUCAAAUCAGCACGGCCCUUACGUCCAGGGCUACAC
rnacentral:rRNA from 1 species